CCUACGGGGUGCAGCAGUGAGGAAUAUUGGUCAAUGGACGAGAGUCUGAACCAGCCAAGUAGCGUGAAGGAUGACUGCCCUAUGGGUUGUAAACUUCUUUUAUAUGGGAAUAAAACGCUCCACGUGUGGGAUUUUGUAUGUACCAUAUGAAUAAGGAUCGGCUAACUCCGUGCCAGCAGCCGCGGUAAUACGGAGGAUCCGAGCGUUAUCCGGAUUUAUUGGGUUUAAAGGGAGCGUAGGUGGAUUGUUAAGUCAGUUGUGAAAGUUUGCGGCUCAACCGUAAAAUUGCAGUUGAAACUGGCAGUCUUGAGUACAGUAGAGGUGGGCGGAAUUCGUGGUGUAGCGGUGAAAUGCUUAGCUAUCACGAAGAACUCCGAUUGCGAAGGCAGUUCACUGGACUGCAACUGACACUGAGGCUCGAAAGUGUGGGUAUCAAACAGGAUUAGAUACCCCUGUAGUC
rnacentral:rRNA from 1 species